GAUGAACGCUGGCGGCGUGCUUAAUACAUGCAAGUCGAACGGAAGGGCCAUGCUUUUGUGGGGUGGUCGUGUGGCGAACGGGUGAGUGACACGUGAGUAACAUGCACUUAAAUUGGGGAUAAAUUUAGGGAAAUGGGGAGAAUAUCGGGUAGGAGCUUCUGAUGCAUGGUGUGGGUUGGAGAGUUUCGGCGGUUGUGGAUGGACUCGCGGCUUAUGAGCUGGUUUGGGAGGUAGGUGAUUUCCAGGGCUUUGACGGGUAGCCGGCCUGGGAGCGUGACCGGCCACAUUGCUACUGCGAUACGGCCCAGACUCCUACGGGAGGCAGCAGUGGGGAAUCUUGCACAAUGGGCGGAAGCCUGAUGCAGCAACGCCGCGUGCGGGAUGAUGGCCUUCGGGUUGUAAACCUCUUUCGCCUGUGACGAAGCGUGAGUGACGGUAAUGGGUAAAGAAGCACCGGCUAACUACGUG
rnacentral:rRNA from 1 species